UGGGGAAUUUUGGACAAUGGGCGAAAGCCUGAUCCAGCAAUGCCGCGUGUGUGAAGAAGGCCUUCGGGUUGUAAAGCACUUUUGUCCGGAAAGAAAUCCUUGGCUCUAAUACAGUCGGGGGGAUGACGGUACCGGAAGAAUAAGCACCGGCUAACUACGUGCCAGCAGCCGCGGUAAUACGUAGGGUGCAAGCGUUAAUCGGAAUUACUGGGCGUAAAGCGUGCGCAGGCGGUUUGCUAAGACCGAUGUGAAAUCCCCGGGCUCAACCUGGGGAACUGCAUUGGUGACUGGCAGGCUAGAGUAUGGCAGAGGGGGGUAGAAUUCCACGUGUAGCAGUGAAAUGCGUAGAGAUGUGGAGGAAUACCGAUGGCGAAGGCAGCCCCCUGGGCCAAUACUGACGCUCAUGCACGAAAGCGUGGGGGAGCAAACAGGAUUAGAUACCCUGGUAGUCCACGCCCUAAACGAUGUCAACUAGUUGUUGGGGAUUCAUUUCCUUAGUAACGUAGCUAACGCGUGAAGUUGACCGCCUGGGGAGUACGGUCGCAAGAUUAAAACUCAAAUGAAUUGACGGGGUCAUAGCUGUUUCCU
rnacentral:rRNA from 1 species